CGCGGCCUAUCAGCUUGUUGGUGAGGUAAUGGCUCACCAAGGCGACGACGGGUAGCCGGCCUGAGAGGGCGACCGGCCACACUGGGACUGAGACACGGCCCAGACUCCUACGGGAGGCAGCAGUGGGGAAUAUUGCACAAUGGGCGAAAGCCCGAUGCAGCGACGCCGCGUGAGGGAUGACGGCCUUCGGGUUGUAAACCUCUUUCAGCAGGGAAGAAGCGAAAGUGACGGUACCUGCAGAAGAAGCGCCGGCUAACUACGUGCCAGCAGCCGCGGUAAUACGUAGGGCGCAAGCGUUGUCCGGAAUUAUUGGGCGUAAAGAGCUCGUAGGCGGCUUGUCACGUCGGGUGUGAAAGCCCGGGGCUUAACCCCGGGUCUGCAUUCGAUACGGGCUAGCUAGAGUGUGGUAGGGGAGAUCGGAAUUCCUGGUGUAGCGGUGAAAUGCGCAGAUAUCAGGAGGAACACCGGUGGCGAAGGCGGAUCUCUGGGCCAUUACUGACGCUGAGGAGCGAAAGCGUGGGGAGCGAACAGGAUUAGAUACCCUGGUAGUCCACGCCGUAAACGGUGGGAACUAGGUGUUGGCGACAUUCCACGUCGUCGGUGCCGCAGCUAACGCAUUAAGUUCCCCGCCUGGGGAGUACGG
rnacentral:rRNA from 1 species